rnacentral:lncRNA from 1 species
CAUAUGGUUUCUAGGAGGACCCCAACAGCCCAACUGUCAGAGAGACUGUGAUCAGUGCUGUGUAGGAGGAGCUGGGAGGAAGGAUGUCACAUUCAAUUCAGAGUCCAUUAGGACCCAGACGCUCCCCUGCAAUAAAUUCCUAAUCCAGACAGCGCAUGCAAGCUCGGGAGGAGACCCUUCCAUGUCAUUCAGCCGAGAGGGCCACAGACUCAUAGACAAGAGGAGGGCUUCACCAAGGCCGGACACAGACAGAGGUGAGAGUCUUUCCCUCUCCGAUGCUUGUCCUCAUUGUUAGAGACUGACAGAGA